rnacentral:rRNA from 1 species
UUUAACUGAAGAGUUUGAUCAUGGCUCAGAUUGAACGCUGGCGGCAGGCUUAACACAUGCAAGUCGAGCGGGGGAAGGUAGCUUGCUACCGGA